CAACACAUCACACACAAGAAACAGUUGUGCUCAUGUGAUGGGGGCCUCAGCACUAGGAAGGAGUGGACUGUUGGCGCACGCAGCAGCUUGAAUAAAUCUGAAAGUCACUACGCUGCGUAAGAGAAGCCAAAUAAAGCGCAUGCUGUGUACAGAGGGUGUCGAGAAUGCCUCCUACGUGACGGAAAGCAGAUCCGUGGUUCCCUGCAGACUGGCAGGAGCAGAUUCCAAAGGCACAGGAAGAAGCUUGCAGCUGACAGAAACUCAUGACAGCCUGCUUUAGAUGAAGGGGGAGAGAAGGACUGGAAGAAUCUUGGAGUUGGGAAUGUCACACGUAAUUGAAGGAAGAACAAGAAAACUAUAAUUCUUCCCCUGGAGGCUGGAGUUUCCAGGAUGUCAAAAUUACCUCUGCUUGGGUGAGCUAUUUCAAGCAGCUGGGAUACCUGUGUCACUCCUGCUGUCUGCCAGUGACUGCCCAGGUGUCUGCUGGUUCCUCCCCAGGAGUAGGGAGGAACCAGGUGGGCUGGCUGGGAUGGGUGGAUAUUUAAAGACCAGGCCUUGGACGCUGCAGCACUUCUAUCUCUGCUUGAUGCCUGCUGCCACGUGGCUGGUCCUCCUCCUCCUGCUGUGGCUGAGCCUUGGGGUGAAGACAGGCAGCUGCUCCCAACCCCAGAACCUUUGCUGUCUUGGGACGGAUCACCACUGCAAGAGGGGAAGUUGCUACUGUGAUGAAUUCUGCCAUGUGGCACCAGACUGCCACCCAGACCACAGUGUCCUCUGCAACCCUGCUUCUCAGAUGACCAAGAUGGUGCUGCAGAUGGUGCUGAGGAUGGAGAACCCACCAAGCCC
rnacentral:misc_RNA from 1 species